rnacentral:lncRNA from 1 species
GGCUGAGCUUGGUGACUGUGGGAGUGGGGGUGGGGGCGGCAUGGGGGAAAUUGGGCGAAGGGAAGAGAAUGUGAGAUUACAUGGAUUAAAAAUGAAGUGAAAACGAGGGUUUAAAACAUUUUUUUUAUUUUUUUUUAAACCGACGAUCAAGGCAGAGGAAGCGCUCAGAUAAUGGACACGAUGUUUGGUAUUUUGUUUGUUGUUUUUUUUUUUCCCCCCCAAACAAAAGAAUGAGCCGCUCGCGCGUUUAUUGGGAGCCCCGCGAAACCCCGAAACCCGGGACGUUUUUCAUUAAUACUAUACAAACGGGUCACGUGACGGCAAUCCAAUGGCCGAGGGGCUUACAUUUCAAAAGGGGCUACCGCCGCCCAAUGGCCGGCCACGAUGCAUGCAAAUAAGACUGGCUUUUUUCACCGUGGAAUGCCAACUAUUCCAAGAUGGAGGCUGCGGUCGACAGGCUCGAUGCAAACGCUGUGUUGAAGACCUGGAUGAAAGAAUAAAAUUGGAGAGGAUGUGGAAAUUGAUUCCAGAGGCGGGUCCUCCACACGGCUUCGCAGGUACUGAAGCACACACAUCACCACAAGCCACAAAAAGUCGGCUUCCUCUCGGCUAUCGUUUCUCCCUCGGCUCGUGUUUCUGCGUUGAACGUGGUCGUUUCAACUGUGUCUCACAUACCCAUGCCUCUGGUCUAAACGUGGUUUUCCUCCAAUGUUUAAGCCAGGACAUAUACUGCCAUUUCCGUUCCACCAUGAGCCAAGAAACAUGUCAAAAAGGACCGAGUGUGGGGAGGAAGGGAGAGACUUGCGUCCUUCUUUUUCAAUCUCAGAAUCAUCCAAAGUAAACCCAAAAGACAUGUGAAAGUCUCACCCAUGGGAACUAUGUCAAAUUCUGUGACGUGAGAGGUGGAUAAUGAAGGAAUUUAAAGCAAAACAAAACACAAAACAAAAGGAGCUAUUUUGGUCCCACAGCUCAACUGGCAUUUCCUAUGUGAGACACCUAAAACGUAACAGCUUGGGUCAUUGUUUAGCAAUUGGUCGGUUCUCCUACUCUUCCCAUUCCACCCCAUGAACGUAACAAUGGUUACUAACAUUGUAUACCCUGUAAUGUGUAUAAAUACAUAGUAUUUGAAAAUGUAUUUUUAAAUUUUUUUCCUCCCAACAUACCCCCUACUCCCUCCACCACAGCCUCCCCAAGCAAAACAUUUGAAUACAGCAGCCCAAAACUAAAUGAGUCAAACCAUUGUGGUGAUAUUCCCUUUUGGUGUGUGUUUUUUUUAAUGAAAUAUGUUGUUUAAACCAGGACAAAAUGAAAAUUCACUCACAGUUAAAAUGCAGUGACAUGCUUUAAAUGAAGUCAAGUUGAUGAAAAAUCCUUCCCGUGGUAUCUCCAGCUGUUUCCGAAAUGGGAUGGAUUCCUCGGCGUCGAGAGGCCGAGGCCUCAAGGUGAAUGUUGUUCAACAAAGAGCUGGUUGGUUGUCGUUGUGGUUGUUUAGCCAUGCAAACAAAAUACACCACUCGAUGGUCGUGGUGGUAAGGUAUAAAAGUCACGAUUAAAUGUUGAUGUGCUAUGGUUUUUUUUUUUGAAUAUAUUGUCGAGGCUCAUACAAGAGCUAACACACAGAACAUAUAACAAGGGGAGCAGGAGACAAGAGGGGGCAGGAGAGGGAAGCAUAAAACAGUGGGGAGCAGAGACAUUCGAUCUGUGUAGGGGAGAGGAAUGGGGUGGGGUACACUGGGUAAACAAGAUGGAUACUACAGGGGCUUUCAGGAAGGAAAGCAGGGAAUAUGAAGGAGGUGGGUUUGGGGUGGAUUAACAAGGGGUAGAAAAGAUCGUAGUUUUUGAUGGGGGAAGAUAUUAGAUGGUGGUGAACAGCUGUUUUGAAGACCUUGAGGGAAGAGUGGGAUUGAAGAGAGUGUGGGAGUUUAUUCCAGAAGUGGGGAAAAAGAGGAAUGAAAGAGUGAAGGUGAGCAGUGAUUCUUCAUUUUGGCAGUUUCACCAGAAGGGGGUUGCUGGCUGACCUUUAGCAUCCUGUAGAAAUACAGGGGGACAGAUCAGAGACAGCGGGGGGGGGGGCCCCCCCCCGAGAGGAGACUGAAGAAGACAGAAAGACCACCAACCUGCUUGCGGUCAGAGAGAUAGAGAUGGAGAUAUAUCCAAAGACUCGGCUUCAUUGUGGGAGAUACCAAUGAUACUAAAAACUUUGGUUUCCACAGAGUGAAGCCGAGCUACGUGAGAGACAGGAGCACCAGCCCAGAGAGGAGAGCUGCACUCCAUCAAGCUACGGAUGAAAGCUUUGUAUGUGGUUAGAGGCUCAGAUGUUCCAAGGAAGGACUUUGCAUGACAGAGGAUGCCCAGUCGGCGACCAACUUUGGAGGCCAGCUGAGAAAUGUGGCUGUCCCAGGAAAGAUCAUGGCAGAUAGUGAGACACAAAAGCUUGAAAGAUGAACUUUUUCAAGAGGAUUGUUGAGAAAGUAGAGGGGGGUGGAUUUCCAGAUGGUUCUUUCAGAGAGACAAAGUGAGAGCGUGACAUUUGUCAGGAUUGAAAGACAUUUGUCAGGAUUGAAAGAUGAACUUUUUCAAGAGGAUUGUUGAGAAAGUAGAGGGGGGGGGGGGUUUCCCAGAUGGUUCUUUCAGAGAGACAAAGUGAGAGCGUGACAUUUGUCAGGAUUGAAAGACAUGUUCCAAGUGUUUGACCAGCUUGUGAUUUUUAUCCAGGUCUGCAGGGAGUGAAGAGGCUGCUGCCUGCUGAUUUCAGGGAUGAGGGAUGGUACAGCAGAGGAUGGAGUUGUCAGAAAAGAGAUAGAGGAUUUAAAAGAGUCGGAGAGGUCAUUGAUGAAAAUCAGAAAAAGCAUAGGGCACAGAACACUACCUUGAGGAACUCCAGCCUGGACAGGAAGAGGAGAUGAGAGAGAGAGAGAGAGAGAGAGAGAGAGAGAGAGAGACCCCCCCCCCCCCCCCC